AGGGGGUCAUCUGACAUGGGUGCCUCACAUCCAAACAGGACUGUGACCCUGCUUGCACAGAGGAGCUUAGGACUAGAGGAAAGCAAAAAGGAGAGCUUGGCAUGGAGCAAGCACACUGGUCCAAAAGAACACAGGCAUUUGAGAAAAGUCACGUUUUUGAGCCCUGAACUGAAAAAUGAUGAUUCCUGUGAGACUUGAAAGUUUUUAGGUCACUUUGAACAAGCUUCCUUUAAGUGUGUGCAAUGCAAGUCAUUCCUGAAAAUCCCAGAGGCCUAACACCAUCCCCUUGAUGGAAUCAGAUUACAAGGAAAACUUGGGUCAUUCAAGAAACAUCAACUAAUAACAAAGUCAUCUCUAACAGUCCCAGUGGACUGCAGUGUAGGAGGCUGUGAAUCACUGAAGACAUGGGAAAAUGGCAGCAACAGAAGGAAAAAAAAGACCAGUCUGCAGCAGAUAAACAGGCCAGUAAAAGAUGACUUUCAUGACUGGCAAGCACAGCAGCUGAAAGCCCAGGGGAGGAUUAGUUCAGAGCAUCCUGUUAAGAGUUCAUAACAUACUUGCACCCAUCCGGACUGGAAGGAGAUGGGUCCCAUAAAAAAGUACAAAGCCUCAUAAAGACGAGGAAACUGGCUGA